CACGCCCUAAACGAUGCAUAUUAGGCAUUGAGAGUAUCGACCCUUUCAGUGUCGUAGCUAACGCGUUAAAUAUGCCGCCUGGGAAGUACGAUCGCAAGAUUAAAACUCAAAGGAAUAGACGGGGAUCCGCACAAGUAGAGGAUCAUGUGGUUUAAUUCGAUGGUAAGCGAGAAACCUCACCAAGGUUUGAAACUAGGCUGCAAGACUUAGAAAUAAGUCCGCCUUCGAGGGUGCCUAGCAGGUGC
rnacentral:rRNA from 1 species